rnacentral:rRNA from 1 species
GAGACUCUGUGCGCGUGCAUAUCAAUAAGCGGAGGAAAAGAAACUAACAAGGAUUCCCCUAGUAACGGCGAGUGAAGCGGGAAGAGCUCAGAUUUGAAAUCUUAAAGGGUUUCCCUUUACGAAUUGUAGUUUAAAGAAGUGUUUUCUGUUGGAGUUUCGGUAAAAGUUCUUUGGAAUAGGACAUCAUAGAGGGUGAGAAUCCCGUAUUUGACCGUUACUUUCCAGCUGUGUGAUACACUUUCAAAGAGUCGGAUUGUUUGGGAAUGCAGUCCAAAAUGGGUGGUAAAUUUCAUCUAAAGCUAAAUAUUGGCGAGAGACCGAUAGCGAACAAGUACCGUGAGGGAAAGAUGAAAAGAACUUUGAAAAGAGAGUUAAACAGUACGUGAAAUUGUCAAAAGGGAAGCGUUUGACAUCAGUGUUGUUUUUCCGAAAAUCAAUUACGAAUGUUUUAGUUUUUGAGGAGUUAUGACUUCAUCGGCUUGCUCCUUUCUUUAUGAAACUUUCUUAAUGCACUUUUCGGUUAACAAGUCAACAUCAAUUUCUUUUGUUGUAAAAGGGUAUGAGGAAGGUGGCUUACGCUUCGGCGUAAGUGUUUAUAGCCUUUUACCUCUGCAAUCGGAGAGAUUGAGGUCAGCAGCGUAGACUCCUUCGGGGGUUAGAUACACUUGUGCUAAGCUAUAGCCUUGUAUAGACAACUUGUUGACUAUGCCCAGUCAUGUAGCUUACUCGCUUGUGCCAUUUUACCUACGCUUAGGAUGUUGAACUCUAUCACACACA